rnacentral:tRNA from 1 species
GGUUACAUAGCUCAAUUGGAUAGAGCAAGUGCGUCCUAAGCACUAGGUUGGGGGUUCGAUUCCCUCUGUGACCA